GCUACACAUGCAGUCGAGCGGGCGAGGUUGCUUCGGUAACUGAGCUAGCGGCGGACGGGUGAGUAAAGCUUAGGAAUCUGCCUAUUAGUGGGGGACAACAUUCCGAAAGGAAUGCUAAUACCGCAUACGUCCUACGGGAGAAAGCAGGGGAUCUUCGGACCUUGCGCUAAUAGAUGAGCCUAAGUCAGAUUAGCUAGUUGGUGGGGUAAAGGCCUACCAAGGCGACGAUCUGUAGCGGGUCUGAGAGGAUGAUCCGCCACACUGGGACUGAGACACGGCCCAGACUCCUACGGGAGGCAGCAGUGGGGAAUAUUAGACAAUGGGCGGAAGCCUGAUCCAGCCAUGCCGCGUGUGUGAAGAAGGCCUUUUGGUUGUAAAGCACUUUAAGCGAGGAGGAGGCUACCUAGAUUAAUACUCUGGGAUAGUGGACGUUACUCGCAGAAUGAGCACCGGCUAACUCUGUGCCAGCAGCCGCGGUAAUACAGAGGGUGCGAGCGUUAAUCGGAUUUACUGGGCGUAAAGCGUGCGUAGGCGGCUUUUUAAGUCGGAUGUGAAAUCCCUGAGCUUAACUUAGGAAUUGCAUUCGAUACUGGGAAGCUAGAGUAUGGGAGAGGAUGGUAGAAUUCCAGGUG
rnacentral:rRNA from 1 species